GGCUUUAAUAAGAGUUAAUUUUAAUUUAUUUUGUUUGGUGUUGCCUUUGUAAUAUUUAAUGUUUAAUGACCAAAUUAUUUUCGUUGUUUAUGGGGGACUUUUAUUUUGAAACAAAAUCCGCUUUUCACAACGCACGGCGCUAAAGAGAAAAGGGGAAUGGGAGAGUGAACGCUUCAUUACGGCUUAAAACUUGUUCACGAAAGGGAUGUAACAAGUUUAUUUAGCAACCCCCCGAAAAGGCAUAAGCUCUUACGGUGAUUUCUGAAGACGAAAGGGAACAGAAAUAAAAGUCUGGAAACAUCA